UACGGAGGAUCCAAGCGUUAUCCGGAAUCAUUGGGUUUAAAGGGUCCGUAGGCGGCCCGGUAAGUCAGUGGUGAAAUCUCCCCGCUCAACGGGGAAACGGCCAUUGAUACUGCCGGGCUUGAAUUACCAGGAAGUAACUAGAAUAUGUAGUGUAGCGGUGAAAUGCUUAGAGAUUACAUGGAAUACCAAUUGCGAAGGCAGGUUACUACUGGUGGAUUGACGCUGAUGGACGAAAGCGUGGGUAGCGAACAGG
rnacentral:rRNA from 1 species